AUUGAACGCUGGCGGCAGGCCUAACACAUGCAAGUCGAGCGGAUGAAGGGAGCUUGCGCCUGGAUUCAGCGGCGGACGGGUGAGUAAUGCCUAGGAAUCUGCCUGGUAGUGGGGGAUAACGUCCGGAAACGGGCGCUAAUACCGAAUACGUCCUGAGGGGGAAAGUGGGGGAUCUUCGGACCUCACGCUAUCGGAUGAGCCUAGGUCGGAUUAGCUAGUUGGUGGGGUAAAGGCCUACCAAGGCGACGAUCCGUAACUGGUCUGAGAGGAUGAUCAGUCACACUGGAACUGAGACACGGUCCAGACUCCUACGGGAGGCAGCAGUGGGGAAUAUUGGACAAUGGGCGAAAGCCUGAUCCAGCCAUGCCGCGUGUGUGAAGAAGGUCUUCGGAUUGUAAAGCACUUUAAUUUGGGAGGAAGGGCAGUAAGUUAAUACCUUGCUGUUUUGACGUUACCAACAGAAUAAGCACCGGCUAACUUCGUG
rnacentral:rRNA from 1 species